UCGAGAAUUUUUCUCAAUGGGGGAAACCCUGAAGGAGCGACGCCGCGUGGAGGAUGAAGGUCUUCGGAUUGUAAACUCCUGUCAUUGGUGAACAAGGCCAUCGGUUAACUGCCGUUUGGUUUGAUAGUAGCCGAAGAGGAAGAGACGGCUAACUCUGUGCCAGCAGCCGCGGUAAUACAGAGGUCUCAAGCGUUGUUCGGAUUCAUUGGGCGUAAAGGGUGCGUAGGCGGCGAGGCAAGUCUGGUGUGAAAUCCCGGGGCUCAACCCCGGAACUGCACUGGAUACUGCUUUGCUAGAGUACUGGAGAGGGAACUGGAAUUUACGGUGUAGCAGUGAAAUGCGUAGAUAUCGUAAGGAAGACCAGCGGCGAAGGCGAGUUCCUGGACAGUAACUGACGCUGAGGCACGAAGGCCAGGGGAGCAAACGGGAUUAGAUACCCCGGUAGUCUUGGCAGUAAACGGUGCGCGUUUGGUGUGGGAGGAUUCGACCCUUCGUGCCGGAGCUAACGCGUUAAACG
rnacentral:rRNA from 1 species